rnacentral:tRNA from 1 species
AGUUAAUAAGCUAAUAAGCAUAUACCUUGAAAGUAUAAGACUAGAAGCUAAAAUCUUCUAUUAACUU